GUAGGUCUUGCCUCGUGUUUGAGGGCUUGUGUUCUGUUUUAAACCCAUUGCUUGGGUGAAUCAUGGACAAGGGAAGGGUGGUCUACUGCUCGUCAUGCAAUCAUGGUCCCUAUCUUGCAUACAACGUCAAAACACCUUCAGAUUUGGAAAUCAAGACAGGCCUGAGCGGUACUAUUCUCGGCAUGAUUAUACCUACAGCCUUGUGUCGC
rnacentral:lncRNA from 1 species